AGAAGGAUAGCUGGGUCAAAUGGUUUUCCAUUCCCAGAUUUACAAGGAAUCUUCAUACUGUUUUCCAUAUUGGCUGUACCAAUUUGCAGUCCCACAAGCAAU
rnacentral:pre_miRNA from 1 species